UACACGUCGCUAACAUGCCCUUUGGUCAAGGAUAACUUCGGGAAACUGAAGGUAAUACUUGAUAGGAGAAUUCGCCUGGAAUGGUUUUUCUCUGAAACUCGUGCCGAAGGAUUGGGCGGCGGUCGAUUAGGUUGAUGGCGGUGUAAUGGACCACCAUGCCUUCGAUCGAUACGGGCCUUGAGAGAGGUAGCCCGGAGAGGAACACUGAGAUACUGGUUCCAGCCCUACGGGGUGCAGCAGGCGCGAAACCUUUACAAUGCACGCAAGUGUGAUAGGGGGAUCCUAAGUGCUUAUGCUUCGGUAUAAGCUUUUUUCAAGAGUAAAUAUCUUGGAGAAUAAGUGGUGGGUAAGACUGGUGCCAGCCGCCGCGGUAACACCAGCGCCACGAGUGGCAACCGCGUUUAUUGGGCCUAAAGCGUCCGUAGCCGGUUGAAUAAAUCUUCUGUGAAAUCGUCAGGCUUAACUUGACGGCGUGCAGGAGACACUAUUCAACUUGAGACCGGGAGGGGUCAGAGGUAUUCCUGAGGGAGCGGUAAAAUGUGAUAAUCUCAGGAGGAUCACCUAUGGCGAAGGCAUCUGACCAGAACGGUUCUGACGGUGAGGGACGAAGGCUGGGGGAGCGAUCCGGAUUAGAUACCCGAGUAGUCCCAGCAGUAAACUCUGUGAGCUAGAUGUUGCAUAUCCUUGAGGAUGUGCAGUGUCGAAACGAAGGUGUUAAGCUCACCGCCUGGAA
rnacentral:rRNA from 1 species